CCAGGGGAACUGAAACAUCUAAGUACCCUGAGGAAGAGAAAACAAUAGUGAUUCCGUCAGUAGCGGCGAGCGAACGCGGAUUAGCCCAAACCAAGGAGCUUGCUCCUUGGGGUUGUGGGACGUCUCACAUGGAGUUACAAAGGAACCGGUUAGAUGAAGAGGUCUGGAAAGGCCCGCCAGAGAAGGUAAAAGCCCUGUAGUUCAAAAC
rnacentral:rRNA from 1 species